rnacentral:sRNA from 1 species
UCGAUCUGUUGUGGGCAUAUGAAAUGAAUAUGUGAGUCGAUACCGCCUGCCGUUAGAAUUUGACCUUCACCAGCGAUUAUUUCUGUGCCAGGGCCAACCACAAUAUCGACCCCUGGCUGCACAUCAGGAUUACCCGCUUUGCCAAUGGCUGCGAUACGACCAUGUUUGAUACCCACAUCGGCUUUGAUAAUGCCCCAGUGAUCCAUAAUUAAAGCAUUGGUGAUCAGGACAUCGACUACUUCGGCAUCACAGCGCUGGCUUUGACCCAUGCCGUCAC